AACGGCCGUACCAUGCUGAAUAUACCGGUUCUCGUUAGAUCACCGAAGUCAAGCAUCAUUGGGCGCGGUCAGUACUUGGGUGGGUGACCACCU